GAUGAACGCUGGCGGCGUGCCUAAUACAUGCAAGUCGAGCGAACGGACGAGAAGCUUGCUUCUCUGAUGUUAGCGGCGGACGGGUGAAUAACACGUGGAUAACCUCCCUAUAAGACUGGGAUAACUUGGAGAAACCGUAGCUAAUACCGGAUAAUAUUUUGAACCGCAUGGUUCAAAAGUGAAAGACGGUGUUGCUGUCACUUAUAGAUGUAUCCGCGCUGCAUGAGCUGGUUGGUAAGGUAACGGCUUACCAAGGCAACGAUGCAUAGCCGACCUGAGAGGGGGAUCGGCCACACGGGAACGGAGACACGGUCCAGACUCCUGCGGGAGGCAGCAGUAGGGAAUCGUACGCAAUGGGCGAAAGCCUGACGGAGCAAGGCCGCGUGAGUGAUGAAGGUCUUCGGAUCGUAAAACUCGGUUAUUAGGGAAGAACAUAUGUGUAAGGAACUGUGCACAUCGUGACGGUACCUAAUCAGAAAGCCACGGCUAACUACGUG
rnacentral:rRNA from 1 species